UGAGCAAGGAGAGAGCUGGCUGGGAGGAAGCCAUAUCCUGCCUGCUUGGGGAGUGAGAAUAGCAAAGAAUGGCACAGAGGGGCCUGAGGAGCGAGGAUUCCCCCAGUGAUGGCCAGUCUUUCUCACCCGGAGUUCUGGCCAGGCCAGUGGGAGACUGAUUUCGUUCAAUGAAGUUAGUCCAUCAGAUGCCUUAUAGCCUCUCUUUUAGGUAACAGGACCAGCCGCUUCUGGCACCAGCUUUGAUUUAUUCCCAAGUCACUGAUCCCAUAAGAAUUCAGAUGACCAAACCGACACCAGCGUCCAGUAGAAUUUAUCUCAGACGUAACAUGGUGGUGCACAACUCUUUCUGGAGCCAACAUGCCUCGAAACAAGUCAAUAUUUGUCUUCUUUUCUCUGUUAGAUAAGCUCCCAAACACGUUCUUCAGCGGGUUUGACUUCCUCAUGAGGCAAAAAGAUGCAUGAGCUGACUUGUUUAUCUUCAAAAGAACUAUGUUUUAUUGAGGAAUUUUUUCCUUUAUUUGAAGUAUUGGAAACAAAAUAGCAAGAUGUUUUUCAUGGUACAUCCUACCUCUCCUGGUGUAUGAUUUAUGUUUGUGGAACAGGUGUAGGCGUGUUCAACCUCCUAAUUUCCCGGAAGCACAAGGAUUGCCAGUCAGAAGAAACAAUCAUCCCUCCAGUAGAGGUUUUCCCCAUUAACAAAUCUCAUGGUUCUUUGUGAUCCGGGCCCAAAUGUGAAAAUAGAGCUGAGUUUCAUUUGCUUGAGGGUAAUACGCUCUGUAAUUCUGACUCUUCAAAAAGAAAUGAGGGUUGUGAAAUGUCACCAUGUUUAAACAUCUCCAUCGCUUACCGGUUUGAUUGAAAAGUGUAGCAUGCGUGUUGCUCAUCA